rnacentral:rRNA from 1 species
UACGUAGGGUGCAGGCGUUAAUCGGAAUUACUGGGCGUAAAGCGUGCGCAGGCGGUUGUGCAAGACAGAUGUGAAAUCCCCGGGCUUAACCUGGGAAUUGCAUUUGUGACUGCACGGCUAGAGUGUGUCAGAGGGGGGUGGAAUUCCAUGUGUAGCAGUGAAAUGCGUAGAUAUGUGGAGGAAUACCGAUGGCGAAGGCAGCCCCCUGGGACAACACUGACGCUCAUGCACGAAAGCGUGGGGAGCAAACAGG